rnacentral:lncRNA from 1 species
AAGCACUGUAACAAGAAAGAAUAAAGGCUAUUUAGAGUAACUUUCUACAAGAAUAUGAAAGAUUGCAAGAAGAUUUGCUUCAACUUUCUACAAGAAAAUCAUGUAUUAACAUGCAGAAAAUUAAAACACAUAUCUCACAAUUAAAAUCCAUAUCCAUGGAGAAAAUUAAAACAUCCAGCCAAAAAGCAGCAGCUGUACAGAACAAAAAAGAUCAACUGUUAAUGUAUUACAUAAAAUCC